AUUGAACGCUGGCGGCAGGCCUAACACAUGCAAGUCGAACGAGCGGCGGACGGGUGAGUAAUGUAUGGGGACUGCCCGAUAGAGGGGGAUAACUACUGGAAACGGUGGCUAAUACCGCAUACUAUCGGAUAACCCAUAUGGGAUUAGCUAGUAGGUGGGGUAAAGGCUCACCUAGGCGACGAUCCCUAGCUGGUCUGAGAGGCUGAGUAGCCCCACUGGGACUGAGACUAGGCCCAAUGUCCUACGGAGGCAGCAGUGCGGAAUAUUGCACGAUGGGGGCAAGCCUGAUGCAGCCAUGCCGCGUGUAUGAAGAAGGCGUUAGGGUUGUAAAGUAAUUUCAGCGGGGAGGCGUUACCCGCAGAAGAAGCACCGGCUAACUCCGUGCCAGCAGCCGCGGUAAUAC
rnacentral:rRNA from 1 species